GCUGAUGUAUGCCGGGGAGGAAAUCUGCCUUGCCGGUUAGUGCCCAUCAUUUCCCACAGUUCAGACAUAUUUGCCACUCAGAGAUACCAGGCAGCCUUUGAGCCAGAUGGCUGGCACAUCAUUCUCUGCAGCUGAGGAAGAACACGUGGUACCCUUCUCUGGAGGAAUCAUGAGAGGCACAGGGCACUGUGUUUCUCUGAGCAGGGUGACUGUGACAUUUAGCAUGAGUCUCUUGAAGAGCUACUUCACUCUUCAUCGCUGCAUUGCAGGAACAGAAAGAAGACAGGUAUGAAAAGGAGAAGUCCUGAGUAAAAGUAGAAAAAAGAAGAACGGAAUUAAGGACACAACAGAUUUCUUUACAAUACUGAAACUCCUUCUAAAAUAGCAAUUCUUGUUCAAUUUGUUCUCCUGUAAUGUCAUACUAAUAUCUAAUAUCUGUUUUAUUUAGCAGUCAAUACCUGCACAAUUUGUUUUGCUCUCUGAAAUAGAAAAAAAUGUUGUAAAUUACAUGUCUCUUUUAAAAAAUAUUUUUCCAUGAUUUCAUGUCUUGUAUAUAUCCUAGGUAAUCUUUCCUCCAUGCAUGAAACUCUCAUUUAGGAGCAUAGUAAACCUCAGAUUAAAUCG